rnacentral:lncRNA from 1 species
AUGUUGGCAACUGCUGAUUGGGCUGAGGCUACCUCCAGGGUGGGUGGAGAUCCACCCCCACUGGAAGGGCCAGAUGUCAUCGUGCCUGUCCUCAAGGAUGAUGGAUCCUACCUGCUCUGUGCAUAUUGGGCAGAUGAGCCUGAAGCCCCAGUCCAGGCCUGGGCUGGGGCCCUGCACCCUACAGCCCAGCAGCCCACCUGCUGUGCUGAGGCCAUUCUCGUGGAAGAGCCCUCAUCACAAGAGGAGGAAGGGAAAGUGGCACGUGCAGACCAGGCCGAGGCUAAUCAGAGGGUGUGUGGAGAUCCACCCCCACUGGAAGGGCCAGAUGCCAUCGUGCCUAUCCUCAAAGAAGAUGGAUCCUACCUGCUCUGUGGAUACUGGGCAGAUGAGCCUGAAGCACCAGCCCAGGUCUGGGCUGAGGCCUUGCAUGCAAAAACUCAGCAGCCCAUCUGCUGUGCUGAGGCUUUUUGGCUGCUAAGAACUUCCUCUGGUGGAUACCAUGAAACCUGACUCUGUUCAUUCCAGGACCCCAUUUAUAUUAAAGUUUGGUUUUGUUAAUUAUUUGGGUUGAAUAUUUUGCUCCAUAAUCUUUAAACCUCACAAAUACAUGGAUUAGUAUAACACUGGAACCUGGAAUUCUAGGUGUCUUCUGAUAACUGUAGUCAAGAUUGCUCCUAUGCCACAGGACAUGUCUACAUGCAUCAAGUCUAGUGAAAAAAGCCAGACAUAGUCCAGUACAUGUGAGUACAGGUUAAAGCAGACCUGGUUCUAAGGUGAAUGCAAGAAUGCAUAUACUCAAGAUGAGCAUGAGAAUCUCUCAAGACAGUGAGGGUGAGGGAGUGUCAUUAUGUGGGACUCUUCUGGAAUCUUAGUGGGGAUAUUCACUUUCAACAACAUGUGAAUGUGUCCCCUUGAAUUUCAUGGGUCUUUCUCCAUACUGGUUUACAAAACAAAGGAAAAUGAUCGGGCCGGCACCAUGGCUCAAUAGGCUAAUCCUCCACCUAGCAGCACCGGCACACUGGGUUCUAGUCCCGGUUGGGGCACCAGAUUCUGUCCCAGUUGCUCCUCUUCCAGGCCAGCUCUCUGCUGUGGCCAGGGAGUGCAGUAGAGGAUGGCCCAAGUG